rnacentral:rRNA from 1 species
GCAUAUUUUAGAGCCUAAAUCAUAUUAAAAGCCUAUUUAAUAUUACUGUCAAAUCCGCCUUCUAAAUAGCUGUUAAACCAUCUAUCCGUUUAAGUAAACCUCAUUGUAACCCAUCUCUUCCUUACCAUUAGCUGCACCUUGAUCUGAUAUCCAUUAUAGAGUAAAUCUCGAGAAUUGAACUCCUUAUAGAAUUCUCAUUCUACGACGAUAUACAAACUUCCAGGUAAGAUUAAACAGCUCGUGGGGCAUCAAUUACAGGACAGGUUCCUCUGAAUGGACUAAAACACCGCCAAAAUCUUUAAUUUUCAAGGGCAUAACUAAUACUAAUCAAACAUUGAAAUUUACGCCUAAA